CAAGGACAGCGGCAGUGGACGAGUGAAGCCAAGACAAGCUAGAAGACCAGCUGUGUGUGCUGCAGAGGGCAGAGCCAGGGAAGUGACCUUUUGGAGGAGCCCAGAAGACGGGUUCCUCGGAUAAGUGACUGAUCUCUAAACCUGAGCAAAUAAUGCACACGAUGAGCCUGGAGCAUCUGUGCCAGAGGGGUAUGAAGUCCUGUAACAGCGAGUGAACCCAACAGUGAUGGGCAACAGCAAGGCACGGAAGUGGUUAAGGAGACACCAGAGGCCAGCACUGGGGCCAGAUCCCCUGGAACUGGAGCUACAGACAGUUGGGAGCCACCAUGUGGGUCCUGGGAAUUGAACUGGGUCCUCGGAAAGGUAAGAGCUCUUAACUGCCAAGCCACCUCCCCAGCCCCUCUUUUUGGAUUUUAAAGUGGUAACUAACUCCAGCCCCACAAAUCUUCAAACCCAGCAGCCCAUGCUGGUUCACAUAGCAGAAGAUCUCACACUGGAGUGGCCAGGUUUUGUCCACCCUCCUUACACAGCCCACAGUCCAGGUGAAGCGAAGCUGAGGCCGGAAGUUGUGUGCAUCUCCUGAUGUCUGUCUUUGGAAUGUGUUUGGGUUUGAAAACAAACUCUGUGUUGCUUACUCCUUUGGCAGACCCAGGAUAGGUGCUGGAUUGAUGGCUUGGAAGGAGGACUGUAGCCUGUAACAAAACCUAAUGGGGGUGACCAGGCUGGGUCCCCACCACUGGCACGCUAACGGAAAUUUCCAGAGACGUUUCUACCUCCCUCACAUCUUUAAUUUUUCAAAUGGACCUCUCUCCAGUUGCCAGGUUAACUCUGCUGCCAAGGCCAGGCGAAUGCUGGCAGCAGCUCCCCAGGGAAGCAUUUUAAUCUCCAGCAUCAAACCAGACCCCUCUUCCAUCCGCCAUCUGCCUGUCUCCAGCCACCUCCAUCCAGGGAAACCAGGAUGGGGCUGAGGGCCUAAUCGGAUCACAGCUCCGAGUUGUGCACUAAUCAGAUUGCUCUGCAGCCUGGCCCUUCAGACUCCAGUCUGAGCCUGCUCAGAGUGCACACCCUCCUCCCAUUUCAAUUGGAAAGGAGUGGAGGUGAGUCUGGCGUCUCAGAAUUGCUUAGAGGUCUGCCUUACUGCAGUUUGCUUGGGGCAAGAUCCCGCCCCUGUCUGUGACCUUGAGAAAGCAACGCAUUCUCUCUGGGUCCAGCCUCCCCGUACCCUGUAGUCAGUAAAGAAAUCCCUUCUCAGCUGUCCUUCUGGAGCCCUCUCGGUAUUUUUAUAAGGUUGUAAACAGUCAGCCAUCACGUUCCUCCCCGCGUAGUAAAGUGGCAUCUUUCAUGGCCUUGCUGCUUUGCUUCCGGGUAGAGAGAACAGGUCAAACUUCCCCAGAGCAAACUGUACAGCUGGGUCAAAGGUCAAAGUCAGCCAUUUGGCACAUGCAGAACAGACUGCCGGGGGGAUUGUAAGGGGGGCAAGGAGGGGCCUUGGCAAGAAUUAUGGAUGAGGGUUUGGCAGGGCUCUAAGGGAAGGGCAGAAGCUGAGGGGAGGGAGCCGGGGUAGCAUCCUACCCUGUUGCCCCAGGGACUGGGAACCUAUAGUGACUGCUUUCUUGUUUGGGGACUGUAUGCAGUCUGGGUUUGAUAGGCCAGCUAUGGCUAUCCUUUCCCUGUGGCUUUGUAUCUACACCCCCUUCUGCCUUGUGUGGCUGUCCAUCUUCCCCCAGGCAGACUCACCCUCCACAACUGGAGCGUCUGCCCUGGUGAUGUGAAACCGCACGUCCCAGGCUCUGCCCAGGUCCUGUUCUGGAGCAGGCAAGCCACUUCGUACCAUCAAGGCUGUUUCGUGGUCUGUGUUUGGAAGUCGAAGAUGGACGCUCCCCCUCUUUCUUGAAUGGCCCUUGGUAUGGAUAGGAAGUCUGAAAAUGCUAACGCUACUUUUAUACUAUAACAGAGGCUCCCCUGAGGAUGAGUUUUAUGGAAUACUGCCUACUGAGAAAUCAAACUGAAACCCAAAUGACUUGGAACCUGUCUGCUCUCUUACGGAUUGUCUAGACAAGAGUCAAUGUUCAGACCACACCACAGUUUGGACCUGUAGCUCUAGCAUUCUUAAGACUUAGGGUCCAGGUUCACCUAUUGCUUACCUUCAAAGAAAUAAUUAAAUGGUUUGGUUUAAAAAAAAAAAAAAAAAGGACGGAAGAAAAUAAAAGAAAUGCCCAUCUAAGGCAGUUUGCCCUGGACAGCCUUGAGAUGGGAGAAUACCUCUGGACAGUCCUGAUGGCUCUUCUCACACAGCAAAGCCCACGGAGCCCUUAGCCACUGGAGUUAUCUUUCUUAAUAUCCCCAUGGCAUCAUAAUGGUGUAAAGACGCAGGGCCUGGCCACCCCGGAGCACUGCUUUGUACUCAGCACUGUGACCCCUGUGCGGUGGUAACCAUGUCCUCUUCCCAGAAGCACUGUGAAUUGCAGCUGUACCUAUCUCCUCCAUCUUGCAGAGAUGGAGGCCUGUCUGAGGAAGACGCUGAACUGUCACCGAUGUCCCCAGUGGGAAGGGCAAGAUGGUAGCUCUGAAACUCCAAGCUCGGCCCCUUUCCUGGGCCCACCCCCUCCCCCUUCCCUCUCCCCCCUCCCCCUCCC